CCGUAGAGGACAGUAAAACAUAAACACUACAAUGGGAAAUACAUAAGCAGAUUGAAACUCAAAGGAAUAGACGAAGGAACCGCACAAGCUGAGGAGCAUGUGGUUUAAUUUGAAGCAACGCGAGGAACCUUACCAGGUCUUGACAUCCUCUGACAAUCCUAGAGAUAGGACGUCCCCUUCGGGGGCAGAGUGACAGGUGGUGCAUGGUUGUCGUCAGCUCGUGUCGUGAGAUGUUGGGUUAAGUCCCGCAACGAGCGCAACCCUUGAUCUUAGUUGCCAGCAUUCAGUUGGGCACUCUAAGGUGACUGCCGGUGACAAACCGGAGGAAGGUGGGGAUGACGUCAAAUCAUCAUGCCCCUUAUGACCUGGGCUACACACGUGCUACAAUGGACAGAACAAAGGGCAGCGAAACCGCGAGGUUAAGCCAAUCCCACAAAUCUGUUCUCAGUUCGGAUCGCAGUCUGCAACUCGACUGCGUGAAGCUGGAAUCGCUAGUAAUCGCGGAUCAGCAUGCCGCGGUGAAUACGUUCCCGGGCCUUGUACACACCGCCCGUCACACCACGAGAGUUUGUAACACCCGAAGUCGGUGAGGUAACCUUUAGGAGCCAGCCGCCGAAGGUGACAGAAUUUUUUUUAUU
rnacentral:rRNA from 1 species